rnacentral:rRNA from 1 species
CCAACGGUGUCCCACCCAACUAGAGGAGCCUGUUCUAUAAUCGAUAACCCCCGAUUUACCCAACCCUAUUUUGCCAUCCAGCCUGUAUACCUCCGUCGUAAGCUUACCAUAUGAAUGGUUUAAUGAUCCAUCAAUACGUCAGGUCAAGGUGCAGCUCAUGAUAGGGAAAGAAAUGGGCUACAAUUUCUAAAUUAGAACAUACGAAAUGCUACAUGAAACACAGCCACGAAGGCGGAUUUAGUAGUAAAAGGAGAAUAAUGCGCUCCUUUUAACAAGGCCCUGGGACGUGUACACACCGCCCGUCACCCUCUUA